AUUAACGCCAUUUAACUCGUAAAGGUACAGGAACUUGCGUUGUUGAGCGAUUGUUACAGCGUCAUGUAGUCUAAGCCCACCUUCCCUUUAACAUUAGGGUCUUUGAAGGCGCUCGCCCUCUUGCUGACUCAACCACACUUCAUUGGACACUUGUCCCGCCUCUUACCACCUACGUCACAUUCAAUCCGAUCCUUGGCUCCUCAUUGGCCAAUAGCCCUGUCGCACGCGCAACCCUGGCCGGCUAAUAGGUUUGGUUGCACAGCGUCGCAUGCGCGCCUCCCAUCACUUCCUCUCGGCGCUUUGGAUUAUGGGGGCUGCAGUCCAUUGCUCCGCGCUGCCAGGCAACCGUACGGCAGCCGCAGAACUACAGCUCCCGGCAACCGCCGCGUCGCGCCUGCGCGUUCCCCCACCACGGUCAGUCGGGGGGCGAAACGUAAGCAAAUGUACAGUAUAGAGUACAGUAGGUAGCGAGAAGCCGGCUGGUGCGCCGAUUUCCGCAUCACAACACGCUUUAAACGUCGUUAUUACCUCGGGUCUGAGGCGUUCAGGCGGCCUUGGUAAGGUAGAAGCGAAGGCUGAGCAGUUUAAUCAAUCUCAGUUUUCAAUAUAUGCCAUAAUCAAGCCUUCACUGCCUCUGGGAUCUCUUCAUCCUAUGAGUGAAGACAUUUAUUUUCAACUCAGUCAAAAAUUGGUGACCCAUUAUUCUGAAUCUGCGACGACCCAAGAAGCUGAAGGUGCUGGUAUUUUGAAUAAAAUAAAGUGCUGGAGUCUGAGGAAGGGUCCUCCAACGCUUUGUGUUUUGCUCCGAGUCUGCGACCCCUGGCUCUAGACUAACCCUGGCUCUAGACUACCCAACAAGGCGCGCCCUCCUUGCAUCCUGAAAAAGCCGACAAGAAAUUUGAAUAUUUCAAUAAGAUCAUCAUCCAUUCUAAUAAAUUCUAAACACU